rnacentral:rRNA from 1 species
AUGAGGCUUAUAUCUUGGAAUUGCCGGGGGUUGGGGAACGGCCCGGCAAUUCGUGGUCUCUUGGGACUCCAGGAGAAGGGACCCCCGACGUUUUUUUUGUCGGGGACAAAGAUGGAACAACGUAGACUGGAAUGGUUACGAUGGAAGAUGAGGAUGCCCAACAUGAUCGUUAAAGAUUGUGAGGGACAGAGUGGAGGUCUGGCAAUUCUCUGGAAAAAUGAAAUGAAUCUGAGAGUUCUACCAUUUAUGUCCAAAUAUCAUAUUGACUCGGAGAUCACUGAGGAGGACGGUUUUGUGUGGAGGUUUACAGGCAUUUAUGGAGAGCCAAAGGAUGAUGAGAAGGACAAAACAUGGCGGCUGCUAAGGACACUGAAACACCAAAACAACAAAGCUUGGUUGUGUGCCGAAGACUUUAAUGAAGUGCUACAUGAAUGGGAGAAACAGGGUGGUGCUCGUAGGAGCCAAGCAUGUAUGGAUCGGUUCAAAGCUGCCCUUGAGGCAUGUGAGCUGGGAGACCUGGGAUUUGUUGGUGACAUUUUUACGUGGAGAAACAAUAGUCACACGACAACAAAUUAUAUAAAGGAAUGCCUUGACAGAGCUGUGGCAACUCAGACUUGGUGCAAUCAAUUUCCCGCUUUUCGAGUAGCAAAUGGACCAUAUCAUUCGGACCACAGGCCCGUGAUAGUUGAUACGGCGGGGGCGGCCUCUGUCCGAUGCACACCUGCUAAUAGUAUGUCACCUAGAUUUGAAGCGGGCUGGGUACAAGAGGAAGGGUGCAGGGAAAUCAUCACAAAUGCGUGGGAAACGGAGAAUAUAAAUAACAACUUUAUUAUUGCCUCUAGGGCAUAUUUCCUUCAGAGGCAGCUGGUGGACUGGAGCAGGAAUAUUCUGGGUGAUCUAGAUAAGAGAAUACACAGACUGAAAAAACAACUUGAGGCGGAAAGAAGGAAAGAUAUUAGUGAGGAGCAAGUGAGGCGUGAGGAGAUCCUGAGAUUUAAACUAAGUCUCUUGGAAGAACAAAGAGGGACGUAUUGGAAGCAGCGAGCUCAUGUUAGUUGGAUGAAAGGUGGUGAUAGAAAUACAAAUUUUUUUCAUGCCGAGACUUCGUAGAGGAGGAGAAGGAAUAGGAUUAGAAGGUUGAGAAAGGAGGAUGGCUUGGUAGUAGAAGGAGUAGAGGAGAUGAAGGAGGUGGCUACUAACUAUUUUUAA